rnacentral:rRNA from 1 species
GUGGGGAAUCUUGCGCAAUGGGCGAAAGCCUGACGCAGCCAUGCCGCGUGAAUGAUGAAGGUCUUAGGAUUGUAAAAUUCUUUCACCGGGGACGAUAAUGACGGUACCCGGAGAAGAAGCUCCGGCUAACUUCGUGCCAGCAGCCGCGGUAAUACGAAGGGGGCUAGCGUUGCUCGGAAUUACUGGGCGUAAAGGGCGCGUAGGCGGAUAUUUAAGUCGGGGGUGAAAGCCCGGGGCUCAACCUCGGAAUAGCCUUCGAUACUGGAUAUCUUGAGUACGGGAGAGGUGUGUGGAACUCCGAGUGUAGAGGUGAAAUUCGUAGAUAUUCGGAAGAACACCAGUGGCGAAGGCGACACACUGGCCCGUUACUGACGCUGAGGCGCGAAAGCGUGGGGAGCAAACAGGAUUAGAUACCCCGGUAGUCC